rnacentral:rRNA from 1 species
UUGCCUCAGUACGGCGAGUGAAGCGGCAAAAGCUCAAAUUUGAAAUCUAGCACUUUCAGUGUUCGAGUUGUAAUUUGAAGAAGGUAACUUUGGUUUUGGCUCUUGUCUAUGUUCCUUGGAACAGGACGUCACAGAGGGUGAGAAUCCCGUGCGAUGAGAUGCCCAAUUCCAUGUAAAGUGCUUUCGAAGAGUCGAGUUGUUUGGGAAUGCAGCUCUAAGUGGGUGGUAAAUUCCAUCUAAAGCUAAAUAUUGGCGAGAGACCGAUAGCGAACAAGUACAGUGAUGGAAAGAUGAAAAGAACUUUGAAAAGAGAGUGAAAAAGUACGUGAAAUUGUUGAAAGGGAAGGGCUUGAGAUCAGACUUGGUAUUUUGCGUUCCCUUCCUUUUUGGUUGGGUUCCUCGCAGUUUACUGGGCCAGCAUCGGUUUGGAUGGUAGGAUAAUGACAUUGGAAUGUAGCUUUACUUCGGUGAAGUGUUAUAGACUUUGUUGAUACUGCCUAUCUAGACCGAGGACUGCGUCUUUGACUAGGAUGCUGG